GGAUUGUGGCUCAGUGGUAGAGUGCUUGCCUCACACGCAUGAGGCUCUGGGUUGGAGACUCAGCACCA
rnacentral:tRNA from 1 species